rnacentral:rRNA from 1 species
GUAGGUGGCAAGCGUUGUCCGGAAUUAUUGGACGUAAAGCGCGCGCAGGCGGUCCUUUAAGUCUGAUGUGAAAGCCCACGGCUCAACCGUGGAGGGUCAUUGGAAACUGGGGGACUUGAGUACAGAAGAGGAAAGCGGAAUUCCAAGUGUAGCGGUGAAAUGCGUAGAGAUUUGGAGGAACACCAGUGGCGAAGGCGGCUUUCUGGUCUGUAACUGACGCUGAGGCGCGAAAGCGUGGGGAGCAAACAGGAUUAGAUACCCUGGUAGUCCACGCCGUAAACGAUGAGUGCUAAGUGUUAGGGGGUUUCCCGCCCCCCUUAGUGCUGCAGCUAACGCAUUAAGCACUCCGCCUGGGGAGUACGGCCGCAAGGCUG